rnacentral:rRNA from 1 species
GUUGAACUCCACUCGGCGAACCUGCUCCGAAGAAGGCGAAGACUGUCCCAUCGGCCGGAAAGGCGAUGGCCACCGUUUUUUGUGAUUUUGUGGUUAUCUACAUAGAUUACCUGGAAAAGGGCAAAACGGUCACAGGGCUGUACUAUGACAAACUAUUGGGCCUAUUGGCCGCUGAAUUGCAGGAAAUACGGCCCCAUUUUGCGAAGAAAAAAGUUCUCUUCUAUCAUGACAACGCACCAGCUUACACUACCGCGCUCUGCGAGCUGCUACCUUAUCCACCAUAUUUUUUAGAUUUGGCCCCGUGUGACUUCUUUUUGUUUCCAAAUUUGAAAAAGUCAGUACGUCAUCGCAGUCACAAAAUCCUAUUUUGCAGACCUUUAGAAAAUGUAUUUCAAACGAGUUAAAGAAAUUUGAGCAUCGAGUUAAAAGAAGAUUAUGUUGAGAAAUAAAUCGACAUUUCCAAAAUGUUCGUUUUCUUUUGAAGGCUAAGUACUUAUCGGAUCACCCUCGUAUAUAUUCUUUAUCAGGAAAUCCGUUAACACACAAUAAAUGUUAUUAAUUUGAAAUGGUGCUGAUAGAUUUAUUUGAAUACAGUACGUAUAUUUUUCGGAAUUAUAUAAUGGCGUAAUUAUCAUUGAUUUUUGUGUUUAUUAUAUGCACUUGUAAGAUUAAUAAUGCGAAAGAUUCAAGUAUCUUCGGGACCCUUCUUAAAACACGGACCAAGGAGUCUAACAUAAAUAUGUGCAAGUUAUUGAAAUACAAACCCAAUAAUGGGAUAGCUAAUUAACACAAUCCCGGGGGUUUUAUAUAGCUAUGUACUAUCUAAUGAUAACUAUAUUAUUUAUGCCUCUCACUGGAACGUAUCUUGAUAUAUGCUGUGAUCAGAAAGAUGGUAAACUAUACUUGAUCAGGUUGAAUCAGGGAAAACCCUGAUGGAAGACCGAAACAGUUCUUAAGCAAAUCGAUUGUCAGAAUAGGGACGAAAAACCAAUAAAACCAUCUAGUAGUUGUUUCCUUUUGAAUUUUUCUUCAGGAUAGCUGGUACAUUUUAAUGGUAUAUAAAAAAAUCUCUUCUGGUAAAGCGAAUAAUUAGAGGCCUUAGGAUCGAAACGAUUUUAACCUAUUCUCAAAAUCUUAAUGGGAAUAAUAUAAUUUGCCCAGUGGGCCACUUUUGGUAAGCAGGAGUGGGGCUGUGGGAUAAACCAAACGUAAUGUUACGGUGCCCAAAUUAGCAACUCAUGCAGAUACCAUGAAAGGCGUUGGUUAAAACAGCAGGACGGUGAUCAUGGAAGUCGAAAUCCGCUAAGAAGUGUGUAACAACUCACCUUCCGAAGCAACUAGCACUUAAAACGGAUGGGGCUUAAGUUGUAUACCUAUAUAUUACCGAUAAAGUAGAUGAUUUAUAUAACUUGUAAUAUAAAUUUCAAAACUUUAGUUAGUAGGAAGGCAAACGGGUAUGCAUAGAAGUGUUUGGCAUAAGCCUACAUGGCGCUACCAUUAGUCGGUUCAAGUAAAAUGCAAAUGUCAAAGAAAUAUAUAUACUAUUUGAAACCUAGCUAAUUAAUACCCUUGUUCAGUAUCCCUUUAAAUAUGGGCCUCGUCCUUAUCCUAAACAGGAACGACCAUAAGGAAACUGUUGAGAGAUAUCGGAAGAGUUUUCUUUUCUGUUGUAUAGCCGUACUACCAUGGAAGUCUUUCGCUGCUUUGUUGAUGUUUUCUCCUCGGACCUUGAACAUUUUUGGUGGGGACGCGCAAACUUCUCAACAGGCCGUCCGAAUAUCCUCUGCUGGUCUCCAAGGUGAAGGGUCUGCAGUCUAUAAAAUGAUGUAGGUAAGGGAAGUCGG